rnacentral:lncRNA from 1 species
UAGAAUCACUACGAAUUUUUAAAAAAUUUCAAAAUUCAUACUAUAUACCGUUGCCAACCGUAAUUUACUCAUUUCAUCAAUACUUUUACAACCUAAAUGACUCUCAUUAAACAUCCUAGGUACAUGCCAUUAUCAAUACUCAACAUACUUUACCUCAUUGAAUUCUGGAUCGGCCUGGGAUGCUGAUUCAACAGUCUAGCCUUAACUUAUCCUGCGCACGAAAACAAACCGUACGCUGAGUAUACACUCAGUGGUAUUUCUAUAAUCCAAACACUUAAACAAUUAUAAAACUUAUUAAUUUAUAUAUAUUGAACUAUUCAAACUCAAUGAGUAUUCAAACAUUCACUUUCCAACCAUUGUUUUGGUCUACUUUAAAUUUCAAAUCAUUUAUUAAAUUCAAUAGCAAUUAAUCAAUCAGUAAUGUUCAUUAACAAUCAGAACAAUUAUUUAUUCAGUAAUAGUCAGUUAUUCGGUAACAAUCAAUUAUUCAAUAAUAAUCAGUUGUUCAGUAUCAAUCAACUGAUCGGUUAUCCAGUAACAGUCAAUUAUUCAGUAAAAAUCAGAUUUACAGUAACAAUUAAAUUAUUUAGUAACAGUCGAUCUUUCCAGUUCCUCUAUUUACCCCUAUUAACAUGACUCGGACCUAGACGGAUACAAGGAUCCAACCAACACACCAGUACGGCACAUAGUGCCUCAUCGGCCGAAACCAGAACAAUAACAGUAACAGUAGCAGUACGGUACAUAGAGUACCUCAUCGGAACAAAUCCGAAACAGUAACAGUAACAUUACGGUACACAGAGUACCUCAUCGGAACAAAUUCGAAACAGUAACAGUAACAGUAACGGUAACAGUAACAAUAUCCGACACACAAAAUGUUGAAUCGGUAAUAGUAACGGUAACAGUAACAGUAGUCGGCACAUAAGUACCUGAUCAGUAAGCCGGCAAAACCCGUAUUCUUCCAUAUCCUAUGGCAUGCCAACUAUAUCCGACUAGUUCGACUAGUUAAUAGGGUAUUUAAUUCAUUUUCAGUUUUCAAUUAAUUCAUAUUUUAAUUAAUUAACUAUAUAUUUUCAAUUCAAUAUAAUUCCAUUCACUUUUCACUAAUAAAUAUUCAAUUCCAUAAUAAUCAAAAUUUUCUAUCAAUUUUAUCACACUUCCAACUACAUAUAUUUUCCAAUAUAACAAAUAUUUAUUAUUCAAUUUUCACAUCAAUAUUCAUUUCAAUUCAAACAUUUAUAUAUAUUCAUAAAUCAAUUCAAUAUAAAUUUAUCACACACUAAAUUAAUCCAUUUCCAUUAUAAACACGAUAAUUCUCACUUCAACAUUUAUUAAUUGCAUUAAUAAAAAAAUUAUAACAAUUAAUAACUAGGUUCAGAUUAUAAAAAUACAAACCGUAGUUUUUGAGCUAACUUCUGUUGACUUUGUCUUGUCCUUUCUUAACCGAGAUUUCCGGUACCACAUUGACUACGAAAUUAAUACAAUUCAUAAUCAUUAAUGCAUUACUAAUUUAUAUCUUGAGUUACAUAAUUAUAAAUUAAGAUUCGCUAAUUUUUCCUGAAACUAGACUCAGAAAUCUUCUUACCAUAAAAUUUUCAGAAUUUUUAGUUUAGCCAUUAAGUACAGUUUAUUCUUUAAAUUCACCCCUAUUCUGCUGUCUGACAGUUUCGACCAUUCUUCACUAAAAAAUAAUUAUAUAAUAGUACAGAACUCGGAUAAUAUUCCUGUUGAUUUAUCCUGAAAAUAGACUCAUUAGGGAUUCUAAACAUAUAACUUUAAGCCUCUAAUUAUUUUUCUCCAAUUUUUGGUGAUUUUCCAAAGUCAGAACAGGGGAACCCAAAUUCAUUCUGAACUUGUCUCACUAAAUUCAUUAUAUCUCACAAUUUACAACUUAAUUGCUUACACCGUUUCUUCUAUAAGAAACUAGACUCAAUAAGCUUUAAUUCCAUGUUUUAUUCAUCCUCUAAUUCAAUUUCUACAAUUUUUGGUGAUUUUUCAAACUUAGACUACUGCUGCUGUCCAAAAUAGUCUUAGUGCAAAAUGUUGAUUUUCUACUUUUAAUUUCAAUUUAAUCCUAACUAAAUUCACUUACUUUUCUAUCUUAAUUCAUACUUUAUUUCUACUCAAUUUUUAACUAAACUCAUACUUAACUAUUAAAUUUCCAGCAUAUUUUCCUAAUUUCUAAAUUUCAUCAAUUUAGUCCCUACAACAUAAAACUUAUGAAUUACUUUACAAUUCAAUCUUUAUUUCAUUUCUAACUUGAAUUCCUAUCAAUCUAACCCAUAAUUCAUCUUUUUAUUCAACAUGAACAAUAUUUAAAAAUCUAAUAACUUUCAAAAUAUUCACUUAAUUUCAUCAAAACCUUGUCUCAAAGCUUCCAAAACAUCAAAAUUAAGUAAAAAAGGCUAAAUUGACUUACCUAUUUAACUUUCAAGCCUUGAAAUCCCAAUUUUUCCCUUUUUCCUUCUUUCUUUUUUCUUUCCUUCUUUUUUUCCCCUGCUCUCUGUUUCGUUUCAUCCUUUCUUUCUUUUUCUAUUCUUUUUCUUUUU